AUUGAACGCUGGCGGCAUGCCUUACACAUGCAAGUCGAACGGCAGCACGGGUGCUUGCACCUGGUGGCGAGUGGCGAACGGGUGAGUAAUAUAUCGGAACGUACCUUAUUGUGGGGGAUAACGCAGCGAAAGCUGUGCUAAUACCGCAUAAUCCCUAAGGGGGAAAGCGGGGGACCGUAAGGCCUCGCGCAAUUAGAGCGGCCGAUACCUGAUUAGCUAGUUGGUGAGGUAAAGGCUCACCAAGGCAACGAUCAGUAGCUGGUCUGAGAGGACGACCAGCCACACUGGGGCUGGGCCACAGCCCAGACUCCUACGGGAGGCAGCAGUGGGGAAUUUUGGACAAUGGGGGCAACCCUGAUCCAGCAAUGCCGCGUGAGUGAGGAAGGCCUUCGGGUUGUAAAGCUCUUUUGUCAGGGAAGAAACAGCAGCUCUAACACAGUAUGCGAAUGACGGUACCUGAAGAAUAAGCACCGGCUAACUACGUGCCAGCAGCCGCCGUAA
rnacentral:rRNA from 1 species